rnacentral:rRNA from 1 species
GUAGUCCACGCUGUAAACGAUGAGUGCUAGAUAUCGGGAAUUUAAUUUUCGGUUUCAAAGCUAACGCAUUAAGCACUCCGCCUGGGGAGUACGAUCGCAAGAUUAAAACUCAAAGGAAUUGACGGGGGCUCGCACAAGCGGUGGAGCAUGCGGUUUAAUUCGAUGCUACGCGAAAAACCUUACCAACCCUUGACAUGGUGGUCGCGGAUUUCAGAGAUGAGAUCCUUCAGUUCGGCUGGACCACACACAGGUGUUGCAUGGCUGUCGUCAGCUCGUGUCGUGAGAUGUUGGGUUAAGUCCCGCAACGAGCGAAACCCUCAUCCUUAUUUGCCAGCGGUUAGGCCGGGAACUAUAAGGAAACUGCCGGUGAUAAGCCGGA